rnacentral:rRNA from 1 species
AUUGAACGCUGGCGGCAGGCCUAACACAUGCAAGUCGAGCGGAUGAAGGGAGCUUGCUCCUGGAUUCAGCGGCGGACGGGUGAGUAAUGCCCAGGAAUCUGCCUGGCAGUGGGGGAUAACGUCCGGAAACGGGCGCUAAUACCGCAUACGUCCUGAGGGAGAAAGUGGGGGAUCUUCGGACCUCACGCUAUUUGAUGAGCCUAGGUCGGAUUAGCUAGUUGGUGGGGUAAAGGCCUACCAAGGCGACGAUCCGUAACUGGUCUGAGAGGAUGAUCAGUCACACUGGAACUGAGACACGGUCCAGACUCCUACGGGAGGCAGCAGUAGGGAAUAUUGGACAAUGGGCGAAAGCCUGAUCCAGCCAUGCCGCGUGUGUGAAGAAGGUCUUCGGAUUGUAAAGCACUUUAAGUUGGGAGGAAGAGCAGUAAGUUAAUACCUUGCUGUUUUGACGUUACCAACAGAGUAAGCACCGGCUAACUUCGUG